GAGUUUGAUCCUGGCUCAGAUUGAACGCUGGCGGCAGGCCUAACACAUGCAAGUCGAGCGGAUGAGAAGAGCUUGCUCUUCGAUUCAGCGGCGGACGGGUGAGUAAUACCUAGGAAUCUGCCUGGUAGUGGGGGACAACGUUUCGAAAGGAACGCUAAUACCGCAUACGUCCUACGGGAGAAAGCAGGGGACCUUCGGGCCUUGCGCUAUCAGAUGAGCCUAGGUCGGAUUAGCUAGUUGGUGAGGUAAUGGCUCACCAAGGCGACGAUCCGUAACUGGUCUGAGAGGAUGAUCAGUCACACUGGAACUGAGACACGGUCCAGACUCCUACGGGAGGCAGCAGUGGGGAAUAUUGGACAAUGGGCGAAAGCCUGAUCCAGCCAUGCCGCGUGUGUGAAGAAGGUCUUCGGAUUGUAAAGCACUUUAAGUUGGGAGGAAGGGUACUUACCUAAUACGUGAGUAUUUUGACGUUACCGACAGAAUAAGCACCGG
rnacentral:rRNA from 1 species